CAGUGUAUGGCUUAAUAGGUAAAGCAUCUCCCUUACACAGAGAAAUUAUCCGUGCAAGUCGGAUUGCACUGA
rnacentral:tRNA from 1 species